rnacentral:rRNA from 1 species
GACGAACGCUGGCGGCGUGCUUAACACAUGCAAGUCGAACGGAAAGGCCCUGCUUUUGUGGGGUGCUCGAGUGGCGAACGGGUGAGUAACACGUGAGUAACCUGCCCUUGACUUUGGGAUAACUUCAGGAAACUGGGGCUAAUACCGGAUAGGAGCUCCUGCUGCAUGGUGGGGGUUGGAAAGUCUCGGCGGUUGGGGAUGGACUCGCGGCUUAUCAGCUUGUUGGUGAGGUAGUGGCUUACCAAGGCUUUGACGGGUAGCCGACCUGAGAGGGUGACCGGCCACAUUGGGACUGAGAUACGGCCCAGACUCCUACGGGACGCAGCAGUGGGGAAUAUUACACAAUGGGCGGAAGCCUGAUGCAGCAACGCCGCGUGCGGGAUGACGGCCUUCGGGUUGUAAACCGCUUUCGCCUGUGACGAAGCGUGAGUGACGGUAAUGGGUAAAGAAGCACCGGCUAACUACGUG